UAACAAGGAUUCCCCUAGUAACGGCGAGCGAAGCGGGAAGAGCUCAAAUUUGAAAGCUGGCGUCUUCGGCGUCCGCGUUGUAAUCUCGAGACGUGUUUUCCGUGCGGCUCUAUGGACAAGUCCCUUGGAACAGGGCAUCGUAGAGGGUGAAAAUCCCGUACUUGCCAUGGAAGCACCGUGCUUUGUGAUACACGCUCCAAGAGUCGAGUAGUUUGGGAUUGCUGCUCAAAGUGGGUGGUAGACUCCAUCUAAAGCUAAAUAUCGGGGAGAGACCGAUAGCGAACAAGUACCGUGAGGGAAAGAUGAAAAGCACUUUGGAAAGAGAGUUAAAAGUACGUGAAAUUGUCGAAAGGGAAGCACUUGAAGUCAGCCAUGCUGCUUGAGACUCAGCCUGGCUUUUGCUUGGUGUAUUUCUCGGUAGCAAGCCAGCAUUGGUUCGUGUCGUCGGAGAAGCGUAUGGGGAAUGUGGCAUCCUCGGAUGUGUUAUAGCCCUGUGCAGGAUACGACGACGUAGACCAAGGAACGCAGUGUGCCCUCUGGGCGGGUCUUCGGACACCUUCACACUUAGGAUGCUGGCGUAAA
rnacentral:rRNA from 1 species